AGCGAACGUUAGCGGCGGGCCUAACACAUGCAAGUCGAACGCGAAAGGUCUUCGGACUGAGUAGAGUGGCGCACGGGUGAGUAACACGUAGGUAAUCUACCCUUUGGCGGGGGAUAACGUUCCGAAAGGAGCGCUAAUACCGCAUAAGACCACGGAGUCUCCGGACGCUGUGGGAAAAGGUGGCCUCUUCUUGAAAGCUACCACCGAAGGAUGAGCCUGCGUCCCAUCAGCUAGUUGGUAAGGUAAUGGCUUACCAAGGCGAAGACGGGUAGCUGGUUUGAGAGAAUGAUCAGCCACACUGGCACUGGAACACGGGCCAGACUCCUACGGGAGGCAGCAGUGAGGAAUAUUGGGCAAUGGGCGAAAGCCUGACCCAGCCACGCCGCGUGAGUGAUGAAGGCCCUCGGGUCGUAAAGCUCUGUGGAGAGGGACGAAACCCUGGUUUCAAAUAGGCUCCAGGCUUGACGGUACCUCUUUAGCAAGCACCGGCUAACUCUGUGCCAGCAG
rnacentral:rRNA from 1 species